rnacentral:rRNA from 1 species
GACGAACGCUGGCGGCGUGCCUAAUACAUGCAAGUCGAACGCAGUGGGGACGGGUGAGUAACAAGUGGGUAACCUCCCAUCAAAAGGGAAAACACUUGGAAACAGGUGCUAAACCGAACCGGAUGGAUGAACACGCGGAGCAUUAGCUAGUUGGUGAGGUAACGGCUCACCAAGGCCACGAUGCAUAGCCAACCUUAGAGGGGGUACAGCCAAACUGGGACUGAGACAAGGCCCAGAUUACUACGUGAGGCAGCAGUAGGGAAUCUGCGGCAAUGGACGAAAGUCUGUCCGAGAAACGCCCCGUGAGUGAAGAAGGCGUUGGGAUUGUAAAACUCUGUUGUUAGAGAAGCGUUAUCUAACCAGAAAGCCCCGGCUAACUACGUGCCAGCAGCCGCGGUAAUUG